GGCGAACGCUGGCGGCGUGCUUAACACAUGCAAGUCGAACGGAAAGGCCCUGCUUUUGUGGGGUGCUCGAGUGGCGAACGGGUGAGUAACACGUGAGUAACCUGCCCUUGACUUUGGGAUAACGUCAGGAAACUGGGGCUAAUACCGGAUAGGAGCUCCUGCUGCAUGGUGGGGGUUGGAAAGUUUCGGCGGUUGGGGAUGGACUCGCGGCUUAUCAGCUUGUUGGUGGGGUAGUGGCUUACCAAGGCUUUGACGGGUAGCCGGCCUGAGAGGGUGACCGGCCACCUUGGGACUGAGAUACGGCCCAGACUCCUACGGUAGGCAGUAGUGGGGAAUCUUGCACAAUGGGCGGAAGCCUGAUGCAGCAACGCCGCGUGCGGGAUGACGGCCUUCGGGUUGUAAACCGCUUUCGCCUGUGACGAAGCGUGAGUGACGGUAAUGGGUAAAGAAGCACCGGCUAACUACGUG
rnacentral:rRNA from 1 species